rnacentral:rRNA from 1 species
CCUACGGGAGGCAGCAGUGAGGAAUAUUGGUCAAUGGCCGGAAGGCUGAACCAGCCAUGCCGCGUGAAGGUCAGUGCCCUAUGGGCGUUAAACUUCUUUUGUGCGGGAGCAAUAAUGGUCACGUGUGGCCAGACUAGAGUACCGUACGAAUAAGCAUCGGCUCACUCCGUGCCAGCAGCCGCGGUAAUACGGGGGAUGCAAGCGUUAUCCGGAGUUAUUGGGGUUAAAGGGUGCGUAGGCUGUGAGGUAAGUCAGCGUGGAAAUGCCCCCGCUUAACGGGGUGAAGUGCAAUUGAUACUGUCUUGCUGGAAUGCGGAUGCGGUGGGAGGAAUGUGUGGUGUAGCGGUGAAAUGCAUAGAUAUAACACAGAACACCGAUUGCGAAGGCAUCUCACGAAGCCGCGAUUGACGCUGAUGCACGAAAGCGUGGGUAUCAAACAGGAUUAGAUACCCUUGUAGUC